GGGGAAAGAAGCUUUGGGGGCUCUUUAUUAUUUUAAAACUACAAAGUGCUCAGAGGGUAGGUGAUUAUUAAGGGGAAUCCCUGAAUAUAUUCUCCAGCAAAGAAGGCAGGGCUGCUGGGGCUGCUCAAGAAGAGAGCCAGCAGCCUCCUACAGCACCACUACAGGCACUGAGAGUACAUAACAUCAGAGAGCGGCUCCUCUGCCCUCCAAAACAACAACUUUCCUACCAUCUUGGAGCUGAGGUUGAUGUGGGAUAGUUUGCUGCGACUGCACCAUCACGUCUUUCUCCCUCUCAAGGCUUUGGAAAUAAAACUGGAUGUACAGCAUUCUGCAGAGGACAAGACUACAUAAAGGCAAGGUUUGAUCUAAGCCACGUUGGGGUUGAACGCUCACAUGUAAGAGUUAUGUUCACGCAGUGCUGCAUUGUGAGGAUACGUAAUAACUAAACCCAUCCAUCUCUCUCCCAGACACAUACCUGGUCUUUCUCAUGCUGUUUGUGCAGGCAGCAGUGUAAAUAAGAAGUGAGAUGAAGGCCACUGGACCAUAACUGGUGAUGCAACCAGUGAAAAAUUCUGCCAGUUGGCCACCAGGUGGUAGUAGGGCUGCAUCUGGGGAAUUAAAUCGCCCUCUGCUCUGGUCUUCGCCACUUUAAAGUGGAAUAAUCCCCUGCCCAGCUCCCUGCAGCCACCAACAUUGCAUUUGGAGGCUCCUGCAGCAGCAGAACUGACUGCUCAGGCCAUGUAUCACCUGCCUUGUACUUCACAGUCAAGAACAAUACUUGGAGCGCGUCCAUCUCCCAUCAUCCCAGCUCUUCACUGCCUUCUUCCCAUCAUGUUCUGCUUUAAUCUGAGGUCGCAGCUUCAGAAUCAGCAAGUAGCAGCACUGUUAACUUUUUUUUUAAAUAAACAGAAAUAAAUUGUGUGAAUA